GGCUGGUGAUGUAAGAAAGAUAUUUGCUACUCUUGAUGGAGUUUAAACUCCAUCUGAUGAUAUCUAUCCACCAAGAUCUCUGAGGCC
rfam:Daucus carota subsp. sativus cultivar DH1 chromosome 2, whole genome shotgun sequence.